GAUGAACAGAAAGAGUGCAUUGCUUGCAGAGGAUGCUCAGCAGUCUGGCUUUGCAAAGAAAAAGAAGUCAAGGAAGCGAAGUCGAGAGCAACUCGAGCAGCCAGCUGUGCUUUGGGAACCUUCCGACCAGCCACCCCUUUCUUGCCAGGAUACAGAAGACAGUGAGGCUGGCCGAAAAAAAUCUAAGAAGAAGAAGAAAACCAGGACAGAAACAUCUGACUCCCAAGUGGCUUAUUCCUGGGCCACAGCGGAGAGUGAGCUGAAUUGUGAGACUGAAAUUAGUAAUUCUGUGCCCAAGAAGAAGAAAAAGAAGAAACACAGACUUAAUAAACACGGUAGUGAUGAUGAGCUCUGCAGCCAACCCACUCCAAAAAAGCCCAGUAAAGUAUGCCAGAAAGAGGACGUGGAAAAUGGGGGUGGUGUUUACGAUAAUAUGUCAUCUCAUAAGAAGAAGAAAAAGAAAAAGAAACGAAUGGAGGAUGUCUGUGUCCCUGUUGGGCCCGUGGAAGAGACGACCGAGGCCACAAGUUCAAACAGAGAAGAUCAGAUGGAGCUCAGCGAUACAGUAGACUCACAGAUGGGUCUCUUUGCAUCUUCCCCUCUGUCCUUGUCAGAGAUGCUACAAGUGCAGGAGGAAGAAGAUGCUCAAGAGGGGAACCGCUCUCCCACUUUUGAUGAUUCAGAUGUCACCGAUGUGGACCUGGUGAUGGAAGGAACAUCAGCUGGAGACCAUGAAGAGAUGCAACCUGGAUCACCACCAGAAUUGCCCACCUUGGAAGUUAACACCAGACUGGAUCAGUCCCCAACAUCUGCCCCUGCGGGUUCGAGACACCCAUCUUCCAGUGAGCAUUCCCCUUCGGAAGCACAUUCCCCAGAUGAAGAUGAGUCCCUGGAAUUGUCUCUCAUGGAUACAGAACAACUGGAGGCUGUCACCAAGGAAUUAGAGGAAUUCAUCCCUCACGUGAGGACUCUGUCGGAUUUAGCGAUCAAGCGGCUGGCUAAACGAGAUCUGGCCAGGUUUAGGGAUUUUAAGAGAAAAGGUGUUCCUGUGAAGUUCGGUGUGUUCUCCAAAGCAGAAAAUGACUUAUUAAAAAAAAACGUUGAGGCUUUCUUAGAAGAAAGCGGGAUUGAGACGGCUGAACAGCUCCUGUUCACCCACAGAUUUCCAGAAGACCAAGCCGAAAUCAAGAAACUGAAAUGCCAAUACUUAUUUUGUGAAAGCAUUGCUCAGGGUAUUCCCCGGCCCUGGAGACUUGUAUAUUAUCGGGCUAGGAAAAUGUUUGAUCCUCAGAAUUACAAUGGACGGUAUUCGAAGAAAGAAAAGAAACAGCUGCAUAAGUAUCACGCCAUGUAUGGAAACAACUGGAAAAUAAUUUCCGAAAAUAUGAAUCGAAGCCCUCACUCAAUCGCCUUGAAAUAUACGCAGAUGAUAGAGGACCCCAAUUUUGGUCCUUGGAGUAAAGAAGAGACUCGGAGACUCGUUCAAACCCUCAAGGAUAUGCUGAGAACGAAAGUGACAGGGUUGGAUUCUGCUUUGGAGAAGGGGAACGCUAAUGAGGCAGUCAUCCUUCUGCGAGAAAAUCUCUACAAGGAUAUCAGCUGGAUGAAGGUGGCGGCCAAAGUGGAGACCAGGAGCUGGAGACAGUGUAAAAGGAAGUGGACUUCAAUCAUAACAAAGAAAAUGGUGGGAAAAGCGCGUUUCCACGGAUUGAACAACUUGCAGUUUAAGGUUGACCUCAUUGAAAGAUUGUACGAGCAGAACGUUGCGGACACCAAUGAAAUCGACUGGGAGCGCAUUGCUAACGCUAUCGGGUAAAAAGCGACUGUCGGUCUCGGGGAAUCUGCAAGCUUAGUGCAGUUUUGCUGUAGCAUCUAGAGCAGGGGUCUCAGCCUUCUGCGCAGGGACCAGAGGCCAUGCGGCGCCACUUCCAAGGGACUUUUGCUCCGCCCAAGCUGAUGAAGCUGUCGCUAAAGUGGCAAUGCGUAUGGGCCAGGUGAAUAUAUUUCUUUUUGGGACCAAGGGCCGGAUGAUUUCAGGCUGCAGGCCACAUCUGGCCCGAGGGCUGUAGGUUGCCGACCCCUGAUCUAGAGAGAAGUGGCAGUGGCCUGCCUCAAAGGGCUGUGGAGAUUCAGGGCUGAAAUUAAGGGUGGGACAAGCACAGGGGCCAGAUGAACUCGGCCAAGGUGGUAAUUGCUAACUGGGAAUUCUGAAAAGGUAGCAGGUUGCUGGAAACUUUUCUUCCCCAUCCGCCUGCUUGCAACACAGCCUCUUUUCCCUUGACUUUCUCAUUCCGCCCCCCCAGAAACGCUCCUCCAGAUUACGUCCAAGGCAGAUAUUACAGACUCAAGACAACGCACGUUCCUUUUUGGAAUGAAAAAAGUUUUCCAGAGGUUAUCGACUACCUUUUUGAAGUGACGCUGCCCUCGUUGAAGGAAACCGUGGAGCAACU